CUUCUCGAGGCUGCGCACGCCCCUAGCACCCGGGAUCGGGGCUGUGAUGGGGCUGGCUCUGCUGCACUAGCGUUCUUGGUCAGCAAAGUUUUUCAAGGUUCUGACUUUUCUAUCUUGCUUUGCAGGAAGCCCUCCGCUUAAAAGCAUCCUCAAGAGCUGGGUGCAAAGCAAAAAAAAAAAAAAAAAAACCCAAAAAACAACAAACAAACAAAAAAUUGAAUAGAAAUAUACAAUUGCAAACCAUAAAAACGGUGAAUGCUAUAAAAACCUUGGAAAGGAAACUCUCUUGGUUUAAAUUUUUUGCUUAGGAGGAGCAUAAAAGGUUCAGGUGAGGUAUGGUCUCAAUCAAUCCGAUUAAUAAAAAUAUUAGUAAUAAACAUGAGAGUGAGAGAGAGAGAGAGUGUGUGUGUGUGUGUGUGUGUUU
rnacentral:lncRNA from 1 species